GAAGCAGAAAAAUUAUAUACAAGAUGGAAUGUACACAUCUAUCCAGGGGAACACAGAGCUUUCAGUCAGUCUUCCCCGCCUUCUCUCUCUCUCUCUGCCUCCCUCCCUUCUUCUCUCUCUCUUUCCCUCUCCCACUACCCAUUGCAGUGCUGAGGAUGAAACCCAAGACUUUGUGCUUGCUAUACCCCAGCUUGCCUGCCUACCUAACUACCUGCCUGCUUCCACUGGGUAUUGAACCCAGGGAUGCUCUACCACGGAGCUCCCUCCUCAGCCUCUUGAGUUUCUGGGAUUAUGUGUGUAGGUUAUCAUUCCUCCCUUGCUGGCUCUCGCUUGCUCGCUCGCUCGCUCUCUCUCUCUCUCUGUCUCAGACUUUCAUUUGACUAGAAUAGGAAGAUCACCAAAAAUGACCUCAGACGAAUUAGAAAGCAAUGUGUUUUAUAUUUGGAAUUGAUGAAAUUAUGUACCUUAAUCUAGAAAAACCAAACCUUUCAAAUGUUCCUUUAAAAUUAUCAGUAUUGCAAUCUGGGGCCACUUGC
rnacentral:lncRNA from 1 species